CAGAGGCAGGCAGGCCUCCUUGAGCUGUGGUGGGCUCCGCCCAGUUGGAGCUUCCCGGCUGCUUUGUUUACCUAAGCAAGCCUGGGCAAUGGCGGGCGCCCCUCCCCCAGCCUUGCUGCUGCCUUGCACUUUGAUCUCAGACUGCUGUGCUAGCAAUCAGGGAGACUCCAUGGGCGUAGGACCCUCCAAGCCAUGUGUGGGAUAUAAUCUCGUGGUGUGCCGUUUUUUAAGCCCUUCGGAAAAGUGCAGUAUUCGGGUGGGAGUGACCUGAUUUUACAGAUGCCGUCCGUCACCCCUUUCUUUGAUUUGGAAAGGGAACUCCCUGACCCCUUGCACUUCCCAAGUGAGGUAAUGCCUCGCCCUGCUUCGGCUCACGCACGGUGCGCGCACCCACUGACCUGCACCCACUGUCUGGCGAGAUGAACCCGGUACCUCAGAUGGAAAUGCAGAAAUCACCGUCUUCUGCGUCGCUCACGCUGGGAGCUGUAGACCGGAGCUGUUCCUAUUCGGCCAUCUUGGCUCCUCUCCUCAGCGGAAUCUAGUUUGUUCCCAAGUUACCAUAUCUCAGAGGCAUAUAAUGCUGUCCAAUUCUCUUGAAAACAAAAAUAAUUCAAGCUCCAAUAAUAAAGAUUUUUCUGCUUUGUUCUUCUGAGUCCCUUGUGCUGAGAAAACUCAUCUAGCAUAUGGUUUGACCAGCAUGAGGACUUUCAGG
rnacentral:lncRNA from 10 species